rnacentral:rRNA from 1 species
AUGCCGAUCGCCUCCAAGCUCCUCUACUUCCAGCGCCGCCCCUCGCCGGCGCCGCCGGAGCCCCCCGACCCGCGCCGCCGGCCCUGCCGCGGGGCGAGCGCCUCCGCCCCCCGCCGCCAGCGCAGCUCGGCCGUCUCAAACCACCACCACCACCAUCAUCACAAGCUGGGCCAGGAACUUGUUCCGGCAAACCAAAGAGAUGGGGCUAAGCUUGUGGGAUGUGCUGGAAACAAAAUAGAACAUAUAGGGUUCACGUGCUCCAGGUCAAGGCUAAGCCGCAGUGUAUCGGAUCAUGGACGGCUUCCUGAUGCUGUUCAACAGGCUAGAGAAAGGCUUCUUCAGAGGCUUAAUAGUGUGGACUUGUCAGGAAGAAGGGAAAACACUUCGUGCUCCGAAACCAUUUGGGCUGGAGUAGUAACUCAUCCUGCUGACAUUGGUAUUUCCAACUUGGCCGAUAGCGAACUUGGUAGCCUAACCAGUUACUUCCAAUCCAGUGUAUCCAUCACCACCUACAACAAAGUCCAAGAAACAUUCCCAGAGCCUUUCAGCACCGUAGAUAAGUGCAUGCCUGUCACCCCGUGCACCGAACCAGUCCAUGUGCUACAAGAAACAGCCUGCGAGUGCUCGAUAUGCCUGGAGAGGUGCGGCGAGGCAGACGGGCUCAUGCAGCUGCGGUGCAAGCAUGUCUUCCACUCGGCGUGCCUGGAACGGUGGCUUCGAUCCCACGGCGACUGCCCCUACUGCGGGGCAGUGUGCUCCUGA